rnacentral:lncRNA from 1 species
UUUAGAUUUUUGAGUAUUGAGUCGAUUCAAAAUGGAGUACACUUGAACAUCCAUUUACAUGUAUACCUGCAACAUGCUGCUUAUGCAUGUGUGUUAAAGACAGUCCGCAUGGUUUGGACUGUGUUCCUUCCAUCAGGUAAGCUUGUUUAGGUCAGCUCUGUGUAGACAUAAGCACCCCCUCUCCUUUCCACUCCAUGACUACAGGGGUGACCUCAGGGAGACCAGUGCAGCUUAGAACAAGGAUGCCAUCCUGAUGCCAAACCCAGCUGCCCCUUCCUUCAUGAGACAUCAGACUAAAAAGCUGCUAGCCCGCAUUCUUAGAUCUAGACCUUGACUCUCAUUCUGAAGGGUAUUCAGAUAAAGAAAAGGCACCCAUUUUCCUCAGACCUGCAGGGCAUGAAAUAACUAUGGUUGCUCCUGGGGAAGCCCAAUACCAUAAACUGACUCUC